GACGAACGCUGGCGGCGCGCCUAACACAUGCAAGUCGAACGAGCGAGAGAGAGCUUGCUUUCUCGAGCGAGUGGCGAACGGGUGAGUAACGCGUGAGGAACCUGCCUCUAAGAGGGGGACAACAGUUGGAAACGACUGCUCAUACCGCAUAAGCCCACGGCUCGGCAUCGAGCAGGGGGAAAAGGAGCCAUCCGCUUUGAGAUGGCCUCGCGUCCGAUUAGCUAGUUGGUGUGGUAACGGCCCACCAAGGCGACGAUCGGUAGCCGGACUGAGAGGUUGAACGGCCACAUUGGGACUGAGACACGGCCCAGACUCCUACGGGAGGCAGCAGUGGGGAAUAUUGCACAAUGGGGGAAACCCUGAUGCAGCGACGCCGCGUGAAGGAAGAAGGUCUUCGGAUUGUAAAGCCCUGUUGUUGGGGAAGAUAAUGACGGUACCCAACAAGGAAGUGACGGCUAACUACGUG
rnacentral:rRNA from 1 species